rnacentral:lncRNA from 1 species
GUCAGCAUCAGUGUGGAAGAGAUUAGAAGAUGAUGGGGGUCCCUGAAGCUCAGCAUGUUGGAAGCUGCGGCCUGGGACCUCCCUUGGAUGAGGAGGCCAGGAAGUAGGACAGACUGUACCAGUGUGUUGCCCUCACCUCAUCAAAGGACCUUUUCUUUUUUUAUUUUUCCUUUUUUUGUUUUUUCUUUCAUGAGAUGGAGUCUCACUCUGUCUCUCAGGUUAGAGUGCAGUGGCAUGAUCUCGUCUCACUGCAAUCUCCACCUCCCAGGUUGAAGCAAUUCUCCUGCCUCAACCUUCAAAGUAGCUGGGAAUACAAGCACACACCACCACACCUGGCUAAUUUUUGUAUUUUUUUUUUUUAGUAGAGAUGGGGUUUUGUUAUGUUAGCCAGGCUGGUGUCGAACUCCUGACCUCAAGUGAUGCACCUGCCUCGCCCUCAGAAAGUGCUGGGAUUACAGGCAUGAGCCACUGUGCCCGACCAAAAGAGCCUUUUCUAAUUGCAGAGAGUAGCUUCAGGAUAUCAGUAAGUUCAUUUCAUAGAUGAGAAAAACUAUAGUCCAAGGUGGUGAAGGCAUCUAGACUGGAAUUCAAACCCAGGCCUGGCUGAUUCCAGAUUAGCCUUUUCUGCAGCUCCUGUACAGGCGCUAAAGGUGGGCAGCCCAGAGCCAGCUUCUCCCUGGCUUCUCCUAGGCAGCAUCUAGCUGACCAGGUUAUUCCAGAGAAGGCAAAUUAGUGUCCAGGGCUGGCCUCACAUCCAGGCAUCUCCUGUUACAGGGGAUUCAAAUUUAGCUGCAUCCACCCCAGCUGCCAGCAUCCUGGUUCUCUGCAAAGAAGGUCGAGGGCCAGGAAGCCAGGCAGGCGUGCCAGCGAGUGCCAUUCAUUGGUUCAGCUACUCACUCAUUCAGUGCGCGGUCAGUCACUGAACAAAUGCUUAUUAGCGCCUUCCACGUGCCAGGCCCAUACAGGACGCCAGGGCUACAGUGCAAACCAGAUUAAGUGUGGUGCCUUAUCUAACCUCCCCCGACCCUGGAGCUCACAGCAUGUGAGUAGAUGAUAGGGGUAUUGUGAUGAAGUUGAGGGUGGGGCGUGUAAAGAUGUUGCUUGGCCCCUCAUGGAGGAGCAUCAGUGAGAACUUCCCAGUGGAGGUGACAAGUGAGCUGGGACCAAACUCAGUAGAAGGUAACCUGGGAAAGGAGACCAGGAAAGGCAUUCAGGCCAAGGGAACAGCCUGGGCCAAGGUGGGAAGGCACACAGUAUAGACAUAGAAGAGCCCCUUCCCCCAAACACGGCUUUGUCCUGUUUCAAGCAUCCUCUGGCCAGGUGCGGUGGCUCAUGCUGUAAUCCCAGCGCUUUGGGAGGCCGAGGCAGGAAGAUGGCUUGAGCCCAGGAAUUUGAGACCAGCCUGGGUAACAUGGCGAAACCCCAUCUCUACAAAAAAUACAAAAAUUAGCUGGGUGUGGUGGUAGGUGCCUGUAGUCCCAGCUACCUGGGAGGCUGAGGCUGGAGAAUCAUCUGAGCUCAGCAGGUCAAGGCUGCAGUAAGCUGGGAUCACACUGUUGCACUCCAGCAUGGGCGACAGAGGAGACUCUGUAAGAAAAUAAAAAUUAAAAAAAAAUCCAACUCUGAGUGACUGGUGUGUCUGGUAUUCUGUGAUCCUCAUAUCCACCUUGUCGUCCACCCCCAUGCCCAGGUAGAUAUUAUUAUUCCCUUUAUGGCACCUGAGUCAAGGGAGGCUCAGAGAGGUUGAUAAUUCGCUCAAGG